rnacentral:rRNA from 1 species
CAGUAGCCACGGGAAUACGUAGGUAGCAAGCGUUGUCCGGAAUUAUUGGGCGUAAAGGGCUCGCAGGCGGUUUCUUAAGUCUGAUGUGAAAGCCCCCGGCUCAACCGGGGAGGGUCAUUGGAAACUGGGAAACUUGAGUGCAGAAGAGGAGAGUGGAAUUCCACGUGUAGCGGUGAAAUGCGUAGAGAUGUGGAGGAACACCAGUGGCGAAGGCGACUCUCUGGUCUGUAACUGACGCUGAGGAGCGAAAGCGUGGGGAGCGAACAGGAUUAGAUACCCCUGUAGUCCCUGUCUCUUAUAC